rnacentral:piRNA from 1 species
UGUCAGGGACCUCUGCCUGAAGUUNUCCC